UACGUAGGGGGGCAAGCGUUGUCCGGAAUCAUUGGGCGUAAAGCGCGCGUAGGCGGCCCGGUAAGUCCGUUGUGAAAGUCAAAGGCUCAACCUUUGAACGCCGAUGGAUACUGCCGGGCUAGAGUCCGGAAGAGGCGAGUGGAAUUCCAGGUGUAGCGGUGAAAUGCGUAGAUAUCUGGAGGAACACCGGUGGCGAAGGCGGCAUCCUGGACCGGUAUUGACGCUGAUGCGCGAAAGCCAGGGGAGCAAACAGG
rnacentral:rRNA from 1 species